rnacentral:rRNA from 1 species
CUCCUUAUAAAGCUAAAUACGACCAUGUGACCGAUAGUAAACAAGUAACCGUGUGGGAAAGUUGAAAAGCACUCUGAAUAGAGAGUCAAAUAGUACGUGAAACUGCCGAGGGUGUAAAGCCUGUUGAACUCGAUUAUCCGUAGUUCCUGGCAUCGUGGGUUUUGGCUGUCACGCAGAAGGGGGCCUUCUGUAUGCCUUGACCCUAGCCAGGAACGAGUGCGGACAUCGUGAUCCAUUACGCAAACCAAAUGCGAGCGGCGACUCCGGUUGCUGCGAGCAUAUCCAACAUCAGGUCCCAGAACAUGCGGUCGACCCUCUAGUAGUGGCGCUCAGCUUAAGGCCGGCGUCGCGAACGGGGGAUCGAGGCUCCGGUCUCGAGUUCGGCUAGUUCCGGUGUGCCGUUGGAUGCGUGAUGGGCAUUGAAGUGAACUAGAGAAGUGUGAAGCGCAUGUUUGGGCAUGUUCAAGGGCGAAAGCCUGAGCCGAGCACGACUCCGGAUCUACGAUGUACUAACUAAUCGAGGUACCUACGGGACCCGUCUU